AGGACGAACGCUGGCGGCGUGCUUAACACAUGCAAGUCGAGCGGAAAGGCCCUUCGGGGUACUCGAGCGGCGAACGGGUGAGUAACACGUGAGCAACCUGCCCUUAGCUCUGGGAUAGCUCCGGGAAACCGGGAUUAAUACCGGAUAUGACCACAGUCGGCCUCGACUGUGGUGGAAAGAUUCAUCGGCUAGGGAUGGACUCGCGGCCUAUCAGCUUGUUGGUGAGGUAACGGCUCACCAAGGCGACGACGGGUAGCCGGCCUGAGAGGGCGACCGGCCACACUGGGACUGAGACACGGCCCAGACUCCUACGGGAGGCAGCAGUGGGGAAUAUUGCGCAAUGGGCGAAAGCCUGACGCAGCAACGCCGCGUGGGGGAUGAAUGCCUUCGGGUUGUAAACCCCUUUCAGCAGGGACGAAGCGAAAGUGACGGUACCUGCAGAAGAAGCGCCGGCUAACUACGUGCCAGCAGCCGCGGUAAUACGUAGGGCGCAAGCGUUGUCCGGAAUUAUUGGGCGUAAAGAGCUCGUAGGUGGUCUGUUACGUCUGCUGUGAAAACCUAGGGCUUAACCCUGGGCCUGCAGUGGAUACGGGCAGACUAGAGGUAGGUAGGGGAGAGUGGAAUUCCCGGUGUAGCGGUGAAAUGCGCAGAUAUCGGGAGGAACACCGGUGGCGAAGGCGGUUCUCUGGGCCUUACCUGACGCUGAGGAGCGAAAGCGUGGGGAGCGAACAGGAUUAGAUACCCUGGUAGUCCACGCUGUAAACGUUGGGCGCUAGGUGUGGGGUCCUUCCACGGAUUCCGUGCCGCAGCUAACGCAUUAAGCGCCCCGCCUGGGGAGUACGGCCGCAAGGC
rnacentral:rRNA from 1 species